rnacentral:lncRNA from 1 species
UGUGGGCGGCUCAAUGAUGGAGCCUAGCUAGGGCCUUGUUUAGUUCCAAAAUUUUUUUUUGUUUUCAGUACUGUAGCAUUUUUAUUUUUAUUUAGUAAUUAUUAUCUAAUCAUAGAUUAACUAGACUCAAAAAAAUUAAUUUUGUGAUUUACUGAUAAAUUGUGCAACUAGUUUUUAUUUUUAUCUAUAUUUAGUGCUUCAUGCGUGUGCCGCAAGAUUCGAUGUGACAGAUAAUCUUAAAAAGUUUUUGGUUUUUGGGUGAACUAAACAAGGCGGACCAGCUAAGAUCGGUACAUGCUACAUUGCUACUGUAGCUCGGUACAUGCUAGCUCGUACGUACUGCACAGGCUCAGUGAUCGUGAUGGAUUGUUUUCCUUGUGCUCAACGUGGAUGGUCCAGGUGCCGAGCAAGAGGAAACUCAAUAGGACAACGCAUCUGUGUUGUGGGACCAAUAUAUACAGAGUGUAUCCGAAAAGCCUGGUGAUGACAGCAAAGGCAGUGGAUUAUGUGACGCUUAAGGCCUUGUUUAGUUCGCAAAAAAUUUUAAGAUUUUGGGUCACAUCGAAUCUUUGGUCGCAUGCAUAG